AUCCCUGUAACACAAUGGAUAGUGCAUUGGACUUCUAAUCCAAAGGUCGUGGGUUUGAAUCCCACUUGGGACG
rnacentral:tRNA from 1 species